rnacentral:rRNA from 1 species
AUAGCGUAUAUUAAAGUUGUUGCGGUUAAAAAGCUCGUAGUUGAAUCUCAGUUCAUGCUAUGUGGUCCGCCAACUGGCGGUUACUGCAUAGCUGAACAUUUUACGGAUUUGCCUCUUGAUGCUCUUCACCGAGUGUCUUGAGCGAUCCGUACGUUUACUUUGAAAAAAUUAGAGUGCUUAAAGCAGGCAUCUCGCCCGAAUAAUCUUGCAUGGAAUAAUAGAAUAGGACUUCGGUUCUAUUUUGUUGGUCUUCGGAAUCCGAGGUAAUGAUUAAGAGGGACAGACGGGGGCAUUCGUAUUGCGGCGCUAGAGGUGAAAUUCUUGGACCGUCGCAAGACGAACUACAG